UCCCCGGUGGCUCAGUGGUAGAGAAUCUGCCUGCCAAUGCAGGAGAUACAGGUUCGAUCCCUGGUCUGGGAA
rnacentral:tRNA from 1 species